ensembl:miRNA
GUUGGCCGAAAAGUUCAUUCCAGUUUUUCUGUACUACCUUAUGGGAAAAUCUGAGUGAACUUUUUGGCUAAC